rnacentral:rRNA from 1 species
UACGUAGGGGGCAAGCGUUGUUCGGAAUUACUGGGCGUAAAGGGCGCGUAGGCGGCACAGCAAGUCGGGAGUGAAAGCCCGGGGCUCAACCCCGGAAUGGCUUUCGAAACUGCUGAGCUAGAGUACAGAAGGGGCAACCGGAAUUCCCAGUGUAGCGGUGAAAUGCGUAGAUAUUGGGAAGAACACCUGAGGCGAAGGCGGGUUGCUGGGCUGACACUGACGCUGAUGCGCGAAAGCCAGGGAGCGAACGGG